rnacentral:rRNA from 1 species
GGGUGAGUAACGCGUAAGUAAUCUACCCUGAUAUCCGGGAUAACCCACCGAAAGGUGUGCUAAUACGGGAUACGCUGAUUUAUCAGGAAAGGUGGCCUCUUCAUGAAAGCUACUGUAUCGGGAGGAGCUUGCGUACCAUUAGCUAGUUGGUGGGGUAAUGGCCUACCAAGGCGACGAUGGUUAGCGGGUCUGAGAGGAUGAUCCGCCACACUGGAACUGAAACACGGACCAGACUCCUACGGGAGGCAGCAGUGAGGAAUAUUGCGCAAUGGGGGAAACCCUGACGCAGCGACGCCGCGUGGAUGAUGAAGGCUUUCGGGUCGUAAAAUCCUGUCAGAUGGGAAGAAAUGUCAUAUGUCUAAUAUAUGUAUGAUUUGACGGUACCAUCAAAGGAAGCACCGGCUAACUCCGUGCCAGCAGCCGCGGUAAUACGGAGGGUGCAAGCGUUGUUCGGAAUUACUGGGCGUAAAGCGCGCGUAGGCGGCUUUUUAAGUCAGAUGUGAAAGUCCACGGCUCAACCGUGGAAGUGCAUUUGAUACUGGAAGGCUUGAGUACUGGAGGGGAUGGUGGAAUUCCCGGUGUAGAGGUGAAAUUCGUAGAUAUCGGGAGGAAUACCGGUGGCGAAGGCGACCAUCUGGCCAGAUACUGACGCUGAGGUGCG